GAUGAACGCUGGCGGCGUGCUUAACACAUGCAAGUCGAACGAAGCGGCUUUACGGAAGUUUUCGGAUGGAAGUGAGGUUGACUGAGUGGCGGACGGGUGAGUAACGCGUGGGUAACCUGCCUCAUACAGGGGGAUAACAGUUAGAAAUGACUGCUAAUACCGCAUAAGCGCACAGUACCGCAUGGUACAGUGUGAAAAACUCCGGUGGUAUGAGAUGGACCCGCGUCUGAUUAGCUAGUUGGUGAGGUAACGGCCCACCAAGGCGACGAUCAGUAGCCGACCUGAGAGGGUGACCGGCCACAUUGGGACUGAGACGCGGCCCAAACUCCUACGGGAGGCAGCAGUGGGGAAUAUUGCACAAUGGGCGAAAGCCUGAUGCAGCGACGCCGCGUGAGCGAAGAAGUAUUUCGGUAUGUAAAGCUCUAUCAGCAGGGAAGAUAAUGACGGUACCUGACUAAGAAGCCCCGGCUAACUACGUGCCAGCCGCCGCGGUAACAC
rnacentral:rRNA from 1 species